AGUCGUAACAAGGUUUCCGUAGGUGAACCUGCGGAAGGAUCAUUCACAAUGAGUGUUUUAUGGCACUCUUUAAAAAUCCAUAUCCACCUUGUGUGCAAUGUUUGUUGGGAGAGAGGCAACUCUUUCCCUUCACAAAUAUCAACCUAUAUCUUUAACAACAUUCAUCUGAUAACAUAUUAUGAAUAUACUUAAUUCAAAAUAUAACUUUCAACAACGGAUCUCUUGGCUCUCGCAUCGAUGAAGAACGCAGCGAAAUGCGAUACGUAAUGUGAAUUGCAGAAUUCAGUGAAUCAUCGAAUCUUUGAACGCAUAUUGCGCUCUUUGGUAUUCCGAAGAGCAUGCUUGUUUGAGUAUCACUAAACACCUCAACCUCCUCUUGUUUUUUCAAAAGGAGGGUGGACUUGAGCUAUCCCAACAACCUUCACCGGUAGGCGGGCGGCUUGAAAUGCAGGUGCAGCUGGACUUUUAUCUGAGCUAAAAGCAUAUCUAUUUAGUCCUCGUCAAACAGGAUUAUUACUAUUG
rnacentral:rRNA from 1 species